rnacentral:rRNA from 1 species
UACGGGGGGGGGCAAGCGUUGUUCGGAAUUACUGGGCGUAAAGGGCUCGUAGGCGGCCAACUAAGUCAGACGUGAAAUCCCUAGGCUCAACCUAGGAACUGCGUCUGAUACUGGAUGGCUUGAAUCCGGGAGAGGGAUGCAGAAUUCCAGGUGUAGCGGUGAAAUGCGCAGAUAUCAGGAGGAACACCGGUGGCGAAGGCGGGUCUCUGGGCCGUAACUGACGCUGAGGAGCGAAAGCGUGGGGAGCGAACAGG